AUACGGAGGAUCCGAGCGUUAUCCGGAUUUAUUGGGUUUAAGGGGUGCGCAGGCGGCCAUUUAAGUCAGCGGUUAAAUCGUGGGGCUCAACCCCAUUCUGCCGUUGAUACUGGGUGGCUUGAUUGCGGUCGAGGUUGGCGGAAUUCGUUGUGUAGCGGUGAAAUGCAUAGAUAUGACGAAGAACACCGAUUGCGUAGGCAGCUGACCAGACCGCAAAUGACGCUCAUGCACGAAAGUGCGGGGAUCGAACAGGAUUAGAUACCCUGGUAGUCCGCACAGUAAACGAUGAAUACUUGUUUUCGGCGAUAUAAUGUCGGAGGCAAAGCGAAAGCGAUAAGUAGUCCACCUGGGGAGUACGCCGGCAACGGUGAAACUCAAAUGAAUUGGCGGGG
rnacentral:rRNA from 1 species